AUAAAUGUGUUGUAGUGGUUUGUGUGUUUGAUUAUAGCUCUGAAGGCCAGGGUUCAAAUCCCUGCUCAAAUC